rnacentral:rRNA from 1 species
UACAGAGGUCUCAAGCGUUGUUCGGAUUCACUGGGCGUAAAGGGCGCGUAGGCGGCUUUAUAAGUCGGGGGUGAAAGCCUGUGGCUCAACCACAGAAUUGCCUUCGAUACUGUAGAGCUUGAGACCGGAAGAGGUAAGUGGAACUGCGAGUGUAGAGGUGAAAUUCGUAGAUAUUCGCAAGAACACCAGUGGCGAAGGCGGCUUACUGGUCCGGUUCUGACGCUGAGGUGCGAAAGCGUGGGGAGCAAACAGG